rnacentral:rRNA from 1 species
AGAGGUGAAUCGCAUCGUGAUGCACACGCCGCGUGAGUGAUGAAUGCCUCUGGGCUGUAAACCUCUUUCCGCAAGGAAGAAAAACUGACGGUACUUGAGGAAUAAGCCACGGCUAAUUCCGUGCCAGCAGCCGCGGUAAUACGGGAGUGGCAAGCGUUAUCCGGAAUUAUUGGGCGUAAAGCGUCCGCAGGCGGCCCUGUAAGUCUGCUGUCAAAGCGUGGAGCUUAACUCCAUUUCGGCAGUGGAAACUACAGGGCUUGAGUGUGGUAGGGGCAGAGGGAAUUCCCGGUGUAGCGGUGAAAUGCGUAGAUAUCGGGAAGAACACCAGUGGCGAAGGCGCUCUGCUGGGCCAUAACUGACGCUCAUGGACGAAAGCCAGGGGAGCGAAAGGGAUUAGAUACCCCUGUAGUCCUGGCCGUAAACGAUGAACACUAGGUGUCGGGGGAAUCGACCCCCUCGGUGUCGUAGCCAACGCGUUAAGUGUUCCGCCUGGGGAGUACGCACGCAAGUGUGAAACUCAAAGGAAUUGACGGAAAAUUGAAGGAUUUCCGGC